GCGAGCGUGGCAUAGCGGACAGCGCACUGGUCUGCAAUGCUAGAGUUCCCGGGUUCGAUUCCCGGCGGCA
rfam:Atta cephalotes unplaced genomic scaffold scaffold00008, whole genome shotgun sequence.